ACGGAGGGUGCGAGCGUUGUCCGGAAUCACUGGGCGUAAAGGGCGCGUAGGCGGCGCGGUAAGUAGGGGGUGAAAUCCUGCGGCUCAACCGCAGAAUGGCCUUCUAGACUGCCGUGCUUGAGCACAGUAGAGGCAGACGGAAUUCCCGGUGUAGCGGUGGAAUGCGUAGAGAUCGGGAAGAACACCGGUGGCGAAGGCGGUCUGCUGGGCUGUUGCUGACGCUGAGGCGCGACAGCGUGGGGAGCAAACAGGA
rnacentral:rRNA from 1 species